rnacentral:rRNA from 1 species
UAUUGGGCGUAAAGAGCUCGUAGGCGGUUUGUCGCGUCUGCUGUGAAAUCCCGAGGCUCAACCUCGGGUCUGCAGUGGGUACGGGCAGACUAGAGUGCGGUAGGGGAGAUUGGAAUUCCUGGUGUAGCGGUGGAAUGCGCAGAUAUCAGGAGGAACACCGAUGGCGAAGGCAGAUCUCUGGGCCGUAACUGACGCUGAGGAGCGAAAGGGUGGGGAGCAAACAGGCUUAGAUACCCUGGUAGUCCACCCCGUAAACGUUGGGAACUAGUUGUGGGGUCCAUUCCACGGAUUCCGUGACGCAGCUAACGCAUUAAGUUCCCCGCCUGGGGAGUACGGCCGCAAGGCUAAAACUCAAAGGAAUUGACGGGGACCCGCACAAGCGGCGGAGCAUGCGGAUUAAUUCGAUGCAACGCGAAGAACCUUACCAAGGCUUGACAUAUACGAGAACGCUGCAGAAAUGUAGAACUCUUUGGACACUCGUAAACAGGUGGUGCAUGGUUGUCGUCAGCUCGUGUCGUGAGAUGUUGGGUUAAGUCCCGCAACGAGCGCAACCCUCGUUCUAUGUUGCCAGCACGUAAUGGUGGGAACUCAUGGGAUACUGCCGGGGUCAACUCGGAGGAAGGUGGGGAUGACGUCAAAUCAUCAUGCCCCUUAUGUCUUGGGCUUCACGCAUGCUACAAUGGCCGGUACAAAGGGCUGCAAUACCGUAAGGUGGAGCGAAUCCCAAAAAGCCGGUCCCAGUUCGGAUUGAGGUCUGCAACUCGACCUCAUGAAGUCGGAGUCGCUAGUAAUCGCAGAUCAGCAACGCUGCGGU